rnacentral:rRNA from 1 species
UACGUAGGUGACCAGCGUUGUCCGGAUUUACUGGGCGUAAAGAGCGCGCAGGCGGUCGUUCAAGUCGCGUGUGAAAGCCCCCGGCUCAACUGGGGAGGGUCACGCGAUACUGAUCGACUCGAAGGCAGGAGAGGGUAGUGGAAUUCCCGGUGUAGUGGUGAAAUGCGUAGAUAUUAGGAAGAACACCAGUGGCGAAGGCGGCUCACUGGCCCGGUACUGACGCUGAGGCGCGAAAGCGUGGGGAGCAAACAGG